GCAUUGGUGGUUCAGUGGUAGAAUUCUCGCCUGCCACGCACGGAGGCCCGGGUUCGAUUCCCGGCCAAUGCA